AUGGUAUCAAUCAACCCAGUGGACUCUGAUCCGGUACUCGGGAUCAACGUUGUGGUGAAGGAUGAAGACGGAGAGGUAGUGGAUUAUUUAGCUGAACCAAGGCUGUCCUGGUGUGUGAAAGAGGAACAAGAAGAGGUACCGUGUCACCUAGAAGAACACGGUAAGUCUGAUUGGGUGAUAAUAGAAAGAAAUAUUUAUGGCGUAUUUUUGUAGUCACUAAAGCCGGUGUCGGCAUGCUUCAGUUCGGCUGGCGGCUGGCGAACCGUACGAGUAUACUCGCAUGGUCCCUAAAAUGACGUUCGCUUGAAAAACAAAAAAAAUAAGGGGGAAAGCAGCAAUAUUACCCAGGAACAGUAGAGGGCGGUGAGCUGGUAAUAGCCAUCUACGGCCAAACAAGGAAGCGACAACAACCAAACAAGGAAGAAACGUACUGGAGAAAAUAAACAAAGAUUUUUAUAACUGAAAGAAGAUAGACUACAGCCUGUUGUUUCCAAAGGGAACAAAUGAGUCAUUGUGGGCAGAACAAUUAAGGAGGUGGGCAGAGCCAGAGAUCCUAUUGGCGUGUUCUGGCAUUCAUCUGCAUAUUUCCGUUAGGGAACGCCUACUCUGGUGUGUGCUAUAACUUAAUUCUCUUUUGCACUCCUCCUAAGCAACGCUAUUUUUAAAAACCUUUUCAGAAGGUAAAGUCUACUAAACGUAGUCCACUCUGUUCAUAACAUAUUCUAGUUUUGGGAACAGAAAACUGUAUUGACAUCAAAUGUUUAAAUUGAUGAGAAAAUAUGCAGAAUGUAGGCCAAAAUCCAUCUCGGUUGUCUUCUCCCACUGCUGGUCAGUGAGCAGGCAGAUGCUUGACAUUUAUGCAUCCGGUGAAAUAUCUGUCACAUUGUUCUAUAUGUGAUAUAAUAGUGUACACAGAGAGACACUUGACUGGCGAGAUAAUGAUAGUUGUGCGAAUUGCCCGGGAUCUACUAGAUUUGAUAUACUUAGAGGCAUAAUAGGGAUCUACAAUCAAUCAAUCAAAUGUAUUUAUAAAGCCCUUCGUACAUCAGCUGAUAAGUGCUGUACAGAAACCCAGCCUAAAAACCCAAACAGCAAGCAAUGCAGGUGUAGAAGCACGGUGGCUAGGGAAAAACUCCCUAGAAAGGCCAAAACCAAGGAAGAAACCUAGAUAGGAACCAGGCUCUGAGGGGUGGCCAGUCCUCUUCUGGCUGUGCCGGGUGGAGAUUAUAACAGAACAUGGCCAAGAUGUUCAAAUGUUCAUAAAUGACCAGCAGGGUCAAAUAAUAAUAAUCACAGUUGUUGUCGAGGGUGCAGCAAGUCAGCACCUCAGGAGUAAAUUUCAGUUGGCUUUUCAUAGCCGAUCAUUGAGAGUAUCUCUACCGCUCCUGCUGUCUCUAGAGAGUUGAAAACAGCAGGUCUGGGACAGGUAGCACGUCCGCUGAAAUGGUCAGGGUUCCAUAGCCGCAGGCAGAACAGUUGAAACUGGAGCAGCAGCACGGCCAGGUGGACUGGGGACAGCAAGGAGUCAUCAUACCAGUUAGUCCUGAGGCGUGGUCCUAGGGCUCAGGUCCUCCUCCGAAAGAGAGAGGAUUAGAGAGAGCAUACUUAAAUUCGCACAGGACACUGGAUAAGACAGGAUAAAUACUCCAGAUAUAACAGACUGACCCCAGCCCCCUGCCACAAACUACUGCAGCAUAAAUACUGGAGGCUGAGACAGGAAGGGUCGGGAGACACUGUGGCCCCAUCCGAUGAUACCCCUGGACAGGGCCAAACAGGCAGGAUAUAACCCCACCCACUUUGCCAAAGCACAGCCCCCACACCACUAGAGGGAUAUCUUCAACCACCAACUUACCAUCCUGAUACAAGGCAGAGGAAAGCCCACAAAGAUCUCCGCCACGGCACAACCCAAGGGGGGCGCCAACCCGGACAGGAAGAUCACGUCAGUGACUCAACCCACUCAAGUGAAGCACCCCUCCUAGGGACGGUAUGAAAGAGCACCAGUAAGCCAGUGACUCAGCCCCUGUAAUAGGGUUAGAGGCAGAGAAUCCCAGUGAAGAGAGGGGAACCGGUCAGACAGAGACAGAAAGGGCGGUUCGUUGCUCCAGAGCCUUUCUGUUCACCUUCACACUCCUGAGUACACUUAAUCAUAUGACCCACUGAAGAGAUGAGUCUUCAAUAAAGACUUAAAGGUCGAGACCGAGUCUGCAUCUCACAUGGAUAGGUAGACCAUUCCAUUAAAAAUUGGAGCUCUAUAGGAGAAAGCCCUGCCUCCAGCUGUUUGCUUAGAAAUUCUAGGGGCAGUAAGGAGGCCUGCGUCUUGUGACCGUAGUGUACGUGUAGGUAUAUACGGCAGGACCAAAUCGGAAAGAUAGGUAGGAGCAAGCCCAUGUAAUGCUUUGUUGGUUAGCAGCAUCAUUUUUGGACAGAAAGUUUCUGAUUUUUGCAAUGUUACGUAGAUGGAAAAAAGCUGUCCUUGAAACAGUCCUUGAUAUGUUCUUCAAAAGAGAGAUCAGGGUCCAGAGUGACACCGAGGUCCUUCACAGUUUUUUUUGAGACGAAUGUACAACCAUCAAGAUUAAUUGUCAGAUUCAACAGAGGAUAUCUUUGUUUCUUGGGACCUAGAACAAGCAUCUCUGUUUUGUCUGAGUUUAAAAGUAAAACAUUUGCCGCCAUCCCCUUCCUUAUGUCUGAAACGCAUGCUUCUAGCAAGGGCAAUUUUGGGGCUUCACCAUGUUUCAUUGAAAUGUACAGCUGUGUGUUAUCCGCAUAGCAGUGAAAGUUAACAAUAUGUCUCUGAAUAACAUCACCAAGAGGUAAAAUAGAUAUAGAAAACAAUAGCCGUCCUAAAACGGAACCUGAUUUGAUGUACUAGAAUACUAGAUUUGAUGUACCUAGCAACACACAUAAUAGGGAUCUACUAGAUUUGAUGUACCUAGCAACACACAUAAUAGGAAUCUACUAGAUUUGAUGUACCUCGCUAUUAUUUGUGUUGCUAUCUACUAGAUUUGAUGUACUUAGCAACACAAAUAAUAGCGAUCUACUAGAUUUGAUGUACCUAGCAACACACAUAAUAGGGAUCUACUAGAUUUGAUGUACCUAGCAACACAAAUAAUAGGGAUCUACUAGAUUUGAUGUACCUAGCAACACACAUAAUAGCGAUCUACUAGAUUUGAUGUACCUAGCAACACACAUAAAUAGGGAUCUACUAGAUGUGAUGUACCUAGCAACACACAUAAUAGGGAUCUACUAGAUUUGAUGUACCUAGCAACACAUAUAAAGACUAAGAUGGCGCCAAAGAACAUCGUUUUACAUUCUAACAACCAAUUGUGCAAUUUUGUUCAUUUGUUUUGUAUAUUGUGUAACUUCUUU
rnacentral:lncRNA from 1 species